GAUGAACGCUGGCGGCGUGCCUAAUACAUGCAAGUCGAGCGAACAGACGAGGAGCUUGCUCCUCUGACGUUAGCGGCGGACGGGUGAGUAACACGUGGAUAACCUACCUAUAAGACUGGGAUAACUUCGGGAAACCGGAGCUAAUACCGGAUGAUAUAUUGAACCGCAUGGUUCAAUAGUGAAAGACGGUUUUGCUGUCACUUAUAGAUGGAUCCGCGCCGCAUUAGCUAGUUGGUAAGGUAACGGCUUACCAAGGCAACGAUGCGUAGCCGACCUGAGAGGGUGAUCGGCCACACUGGAACUGAGACACGGUCCAGACUCCUACGGGAGGCAGCAGUAGGGAAUCUUCCGCAAUGGGCGAAAGCUUGACGGAGCAACGCCGCGUGAGCGAUGAAGGUCUUCGGAUCGUAAAACUCUGUUAUUAGGGAAGAACAAAUGUGUAAGUAACUAUGCACGUCUUGACGGUACCUAAUCAGAAAGCCACGGCUAACUACGUG
rnacentral:rRNA from 1 species